GAUGAACGCUGGCGGCGUGCUUAACACAUGCAAGUCGAACGAUGAAGCCCAGCUUGCUGGGUGGAUUAGUGGCGAACGGGUGAGUAACACGUGAGUAACCUGCCCUUAACUCUGGGAUAAGCCUGGGAAACUGGGUCUAAUACCGGAUAGGAGCGCCUACCGCAUGGUGGGUGUUGGAAAGAUUUAUCGGUUUUGGAUGGACUCGCGGCCUAUCAGCUUGUUGGUGAGGUAAUGGCUCACCAAGGCGACGACGGGUAGCCGGCCUGAGAGGGUGACCGGCCACACUGGGACUGAGCCACGGCCCAGACUCCUACGGGAGGCAGCAGUGGGGAAUAUUGCACAAUGGGCGAAAGCCUGAUGCAGCGACGCCGCGUGAGGGAUGACGGCCUUCGGGUUGUAAACCUCUUUCAGUAGGGAAGAAGCGAAAGUGACGGUACCUGCAGAAGAAGCACCGGCUAACUACGUG
rnacentral:rRNA from 1 species